GAGCAGAACACAUCUGCCAAGAACACAUAUACAAGACGAAGCAUUCAUUCAUUCUUUAGAGCAUGGAGAAACACACGCUGGACAAUGAUGUACUAGUGUUUCUUUUGGUUCUACUCCUCGGAUGCUUUUCCAUUCAUGCGGAAUGCCGAGCAGUCAUGGACGAAAUGGACAACCAGAAUAUCUAUGCAUCUGGACGGUGCAUCCAAAGUGACAUAAGACGUUGCCACGGACCUGUUGUUUUGUGCUAUUGCUGUGCCAAUGAUAGAACUCGUUGCUCUGGCUUCUUAAGCCAGUGCGAAAAAAUGUGCUCGCGGCAGAAAACGAAUUAAUGUUACUUGAAAUAAUGUACGGGGUAAUUAAUUCCUAUAUGGGAGUUGCGUAUGAGCAAUGGGAAUUACAUGAAUGAAUAAAAACGCAGUGCAAUGUGUGUUGCUGCUUUUUAAUUGUUGCA